rnacentral:tRNA from 1 species
GGGUCGAGUGUCCGAGUGGCCGAUGGUGCAACCUUGGAAAGGUUGUGUAGGUGCAAAUCUACCGAGAGUUCGAAUCUCUCCCGAACCACCA